AUGACCUGUGUGCCAAGGAAUGGGCCAGCGGUUCAGAUGUCCUCCCUAUUAGGAGUGAAUCUCCAGCCUUUGGAGGACUACUCAGAUGAUAGGAAGAAGUGGUUGAAAAAGAAAGAGAAACAAGAUGAAAGGAUUCAUGACUUUUCUGGAAAGUAUAAAAAGCUAUUUUUUGCCUCGUCCUCUUUAUUUAGUUGGCAAUA
rnacentral:lncRNA from 1 species